rnacentral:rRNA from 1 species
CCUACGGGUGGCUGCAGUGGGGAAUAUUGGACAAUGGGCGAAAGCCUGAUCCAGCCAUGCCGCGUGUGUGAAGAAGGCCUUCGGGUUGUAAAGCACUUUCAGUGGGGAAGAAAGCCUUGGGGCUAAUACCCUCGAGGAAGGACAUCACCCACAGAAGAAGCACCGGCUAACUCCGUGCCAGCAGCCGCGGUAAUACGGAGGGUGCGAGCGUUAAUCGGUAUUACUGGGCGUAAAGCGCGCGUAGGCGGUCUGAUAAGCCGGUUGUGAAAGCCCCGGGCUCAACCUGGGAACGGCAUCCGGAACUGUCAGGCUAGAGUGCAGGAGAGGAAGGUAGAAUUCCCGGUGUAGCGGUGAAAUGCGUAGAGAUCGGGAGGAAUACCAGUGGCGAAGGCGGCCUUCUGGACUGACACUGACGCUGAGGUGCGAAAGCGUGGGUAGCAAACAGGAUUAGAUACCCUAGUAGUC